rnacentral:misc_RNA from 1 species
AUUUGAAACAAAAAAGAAAAACUUUCAAGGCUUUGACAAAAUUUGAUAACUUGACGAAAACAGAAGUGUAGGGGUCGAAAAAAACGAAAAAAAUUGACUCGGAUUAACAAACAAAUUUUUAGUUGCUCUAAGAAUUUGUUAAAUUACUUUUAUUUUAUCAGGAUUUUGUUAAUAUAAUUAACAAUUGUAAACGUAGACUGCCAAGUUAAUGAUAGCAUAACGAGACGAGCGACGAAAUAUCUUGCAAUGAUGUAGAAUAAUGAGAAGUGGUUACGAGUGGUGUAGUGCCGGAUUUUUGUUUAUAUCAUAACAAAAAAAAAAAAAUACGACCCGCAGUUCUAAAGUUUAAACAAGGUGCCGGGGAGUGCGCAUGCCUCGUAAAUCACGCGGUGAGCUAGUGAUGCGCACGCAGCUGAUUUCGGCACUCGUAUCUCACGUAACUUACGCACGCCUCGUGUAUUCGUGUGGGUUUUAAUGGGCGCCGGAGCAGGCACGUCGCGUUCGUCGCGUUAAGUAUUCUCAAUCAAUUCGCUAUUGGCAGCUAGCGAUCCGGUGAUCUGGUGACUGGCCGUCAACCAAUCAUGAUCAAACUGAAUCCUCUAUCAAAAUACGUUUGUGAAUUGCACAGCGUUGAUUGACACGUCGUAUGUGUAUAGUAUCAUAUGCAGUGCUGUUACGACCUUUGGCACGACGUCAGGUGCGAGUAUGUGAUACGUUAUACGACGCACACACAUUCGUGCGAGACACGUACGCACAUGUCGAGUUUCGAUAGAUGAAAUCGGUCAAAUUUGCGGAACAGAUGAUGAAAUUUACGAAGUUGGAAUACGACGACACAAUAUCUACUCAUAAGGAAACUCUCCUUGUCGCAUGCCGUACUACAGUUCUACGAUAUAUCCCCCCGUUUCACAAAAUGUAUUCCGUAACGGAAGGAACAGCUUCUCGAAGGGUCAGGGUGAGCUGUUUAUCAACUAAAAAUGGGACCUCACAGCUGUAAAGAUUGCUUACACGCUAGGAUUAUGGCGUCCAAUGGAUACCCUACCGCUGGUUCAGCUGCAAAGCCCCUGGUACACCACUCACCACCCUGUGAGUCAGUGAAUUCAAUGCCGUGGUUUGGGAUGGAUAUUGGUGGAACCUUGUCUAAAUUAGUGUACUUUGAACCUAAGGAUAGAACCAGGGAUGAAGCUGAUGCUGAAGUAGAAACCUUGAAAAAUAUUCGACGAUAUCUUGUUAAAAAUUCAUCUUAUGGAAAAACUGGCCAUCGAGAUACCCACUUGCAGAUGGAUAAUGUCAGCAUAAGGGGUAGACGGGGUACUUUACAUUUUAUAAGAUUUCCCACUAGUGAAAUGGGAAACUUUCUAGCACUAGCCAAAUCAAAAGGAAUGGCUAAUCUGGUUACGACAGUCUGUGCUACUGGCGGAGGUGCUUUCAAAUUUGAAGAAAAUUUUAAACGGGAAGUUAAUAUGAGUUUAGCCAAGUUUGAUGAGCUAGAUAGUUUGAUAAGGGGUAUGUUGUACAUCGAAACAACAAAUCCCCAUGAAUGUUACUACUGGUUACAUCCGACAUGUGACAUUAGGUGUCGAAAAGUACCUUUCGACUUUUCUGAACCUUAUCCAUUUUUGGUUGUUAACGUUGGAUCUGGUGUGAGUGUAUUAGCAGUUUAUGGUCCCAAUAGUUAUAAAAGGAUAUCAGGAACAAGCUUAGGUGGUGGCACGUUUUUGGGUCUGUGCUGUUUACUCACUGGAUGUAACACGUUUGAAGAGGCUAUCGAUCUUGCAACUGGAGGAGAUAACACGAGAGUAGACAAAUUAAUUAAAGACAUCUAUGGUGGAGAUUACGACCGUUUUGGACUCCCGGGAGAUUUAGUUGCCAGCAGACUGUAUGUCAAGUUUUCUCGGUGUGUACAGUUUCGGGCAGAUGAAUUCCAAGGAACGACGAAAUGCUGUCUCCAAAGAAGAUCUUGCGCGCGCCACGCUUGUAACAAUUACCAACAACAUCGGCUCGAUCGCCCGCAUGUGUGCUGUCAAUGAAAAAAUUGAUAGGGUUGUAUUUGUUGGUAAUUUUUUGAGGGUAAACCCAAUCUCGAUGAAACUGUUAGCAUCUGCUAUGGAUUAUUGGUCAAAGGAUACCAUGAAGGCAUUGUUUUUAGAACAUGAGGGAUACUUCGGAGCAGUUGGUUGUUUA